UAUGACAGGGAGGCAGAAGAGCCACCAUGUAAGAUUUCUAUGUUUAGAACAAUGAAUUUCAGACCAGAAACCAUUAUUCAGCUUGAGCCAUUUUUCUACUUAGGAGCAUCAGGGCUAUAUUUAACCCAGCCAGCUCGGGCAAAUGCUGCAGGAAGGGUGCAUGUCACAUUAGCUAGGAAAUAGAGACAAAUGCUCAGUUCUAUGUCACCAACCGCUUGUUGCUUAUACACUGCACAAGAUUUACAUAACUCCCAACAGGGCUGUGCCAAAAGACUCCUGUUCGCUCAACCAGCAAACACUACAAUCUAGAGUUUAGGUUUCACUGGGGUGUCAUCCUCUAUUACAGCAAGACAAGGCAAAAGGCAUUCUAAGAGCUACCAAAGACAGCAAUACAGCUCUUUCUCUUCCUAAUCCACUACUACAUAAAGGUAUUUUCAGACACACCACGACGUCUCGUGAGCUAUGAUUCUGAAAUCAGUAGCAAUGACAUUUUAUUGACAUGACAGGGAAAAAAAAAUUGAAGGUUCCAAGGGGAAGAUUUCCACUGUAAGUCUUUGUAAGGCAGCCUGCACUGUUUGCUCGGCUGCAAGUACACUUCAAAAGGUAGUGGGCUAUUUGUGCACACAGGCCCCGUGCCAACCCUCUUCCCCUCCCUGUGUCAUAUUUCAUUGCUUGCUUCGCCAUUGGGAAACAGCUCCAGUCCUCUGCAGCAUCUAGUUAAAAACUAACUAAAGAGGAACACAUGCUGAAAACCAGAUUUGCUACCCUUUUGUGAUCAGAUAUUCACAAACCCACCUUCCUGUUCCCACCACUUUGGACCAACAUGAGGUGGGUUUUCUUUGGGGAGAGCCUUUUUUAUGUUCGGAUGUAUCUUGGCCUUCCCACUAAAGAAUUAAAAAGAAGCUUCCAGAAACUAAAGAGAAAUUGAAAGCAGCAAGUCAGGAUGACAAAGCAAAUAUGACUUAAGUUCAUGUUUUUUGACACAGCCAACCCUAAGAGACAGCCACUGAGAGGCUGUACAGCACCACACUGCCACAAUUAGCAAAGCCAGCAACAGAUCACUGCGAGCUUUGUUUCCUCUCUUUGCAAGAGACAGUGCUCCCACCCCUCCCCUUAUCCCAACAUCCCCAAGUAUCAGCCUGAUAGUACUUUGCUUGAGAAAAAUGAGUGCCAUUUGCAAAGGCAAACUAUUUGCAACCUGUUUAUUUGCAGGGAUGGCGGUACAUCUCUUGCUAACACAGCCCUUCAGGUGUCAGCCCUCCUUACCUUUCCUAAAUUAAGCCAUUUUUCCACUUUCAGAGCCGUCCUGGACUGCAGCACUCUGCAGCUCUGCCAUACAGACAGAGCAGGUCUGACAGGAUUUAAGCUCAAACUCCUGAGAAAUGCCUGCAAUCAGAAAUCACUGAGCCUACUCAAAACCAACACAGUGCUCAACUCCAGUCCCAAGAGCAAGAGUCUGGAAAGAGAGAGGGGAGAAGGCAGCAAAUAAAGGUUAUAGCUCCAUUUUAUCAACCAGGUCCAGUCUAACUGUGGGUAUCCCACUCCUCGCUCUCCAAGGGCAUCCCAUGAUGCAUCCGUGUCAAGUGCUUUUCCAAAAAGACUACCCCAAAGACAGAGAAAAUGUUCUCUUUCAGUUCCUUUUCAGAUCAAUUCCUUCGCUCUGCUGCUUUGUUUCAAGCCUCAGGAGCUAAAUUCAAAAUAGUGAAGUUAAAACCUCUGCUAAUAGCUCUGGAGACGUCCCUUAACAACUCUUAAGCGUUUGCAAAGAGCCAUUCUUUCCCUUCCCAGCGUUUUUCCAAGCAGCCUUUUCUUAUGUUAAACCAAUAUAUUUAGAUAGUAAUUACUCGGGAUUAACUGGGUCACCACGAAGUAUUAAAAUAUAGAAGAAAAUCUUCCAAACCAGUUGACAAACCAGAGCCUCUUUAUACAACCCAACUGUUGUGCAAACAAAAAGCAAUAUACAAGUAAUUGGAAAUAUUUUUUUAUCCAUGGAAUCAGAUUCCUUUUUAGAAGGAACCCAAGCACUGAGACUUACUCACCCCGGCCUGAUGCAAAGCUAGGCAGAUGCACAAUCCCUAAUCCUUCUGUUACCAAUAAAACAUGUGAUUCUUUCAACAUACAGAAGUUUAACAUCUUGGAUGGAAAGCAAUACAUACAUAUGAGACAAGGGACAUCAGAGUCCUGCCAAACAGAUACUCUCAAAAUACGUAGAGGGAAAGGGAGCUGGAAGGGCUGUAACCUCCCCACUGGCUGCUCCACUGCCCCUCUGGUGUUCCUUACACAAGGAACCGUAUUUGGGGUUUGUUUUCAAUACAGCAGCUCAAAGGUCUGAACUCCAGA